rnacentral:rRNA from 1 species
UUCGCAAUGCCCGAAAGGGUGACGAAGCGACGCCGCGUGUGGGAAGAAGGCCUUCGGGUUGUAAACCACUGUCGGGAGUUAAGAAAUGUAAGGGUGUUAAUAGUAUCCUUACUUGACUAAGGCUCCGGAGGAAGCCACGGCUAACUCUGUGCCAGCAGCCGCGGUAAUACAGAGGCGGCAAGCGUUGUUUGGAAUUAUUGGGCGUAAAGAGCACGUAGGCGGCUAUAUAAGUCGGUUGUGAAAGCCUUCCGCUCAACGGGAGAACAGCAUCCGAUACUGUGUGGCUUGAGUGUGGGAGGGGAGAGCGGAACUUCUGGUGGAGCGGUGAAAUGCGUAGAUAUCAGAAGGAACGCCGGCGGCGAAAGCGACUCUCUGGCCCGUAACUGACGCUGAGUGUGCGAAAGCUAGGGGAGCAAACGGGAUUAGAUACCCCGGUAGUCCUAGCCGUAAACGAUGGGCACUAAGUAGAGGGGUUUUA